rnacentral:rRNA from 1 species
AUGAACGAUGCUCUUCUUGCCCCUUAUACUGCUGAAGAUGUCUGCAAGGCGAUAUUCGAGAUUGGGGACUUAAAAGCUCCAGGGCCAGAUGGACUCCAUGCUAUCUUCUAUAAAAGAUUUUGGCCUAUGCUAGGGGACGAUCUAGUUGAGGAAGUCCUACAAGCCAUCAAUACGUGUACUAUACCAGCUGGUUGGAACGAUACUGCGAUUGUGAUGAUCCCAAAGGUUAAUACACCAGAAAAAGUAACCCAAUUUAGGCCGAUCAAUUUAUGCAAUGUGGUAUAUAAAAUAAUUGCAAAGAUGGUGGCCUUUCACUUGAAGGUUCUCCUGCCAGAUAUUAUAAGCCUGACUCAGAGUGCUUUUGUGUCUGGCAGACUAAUAAUGGAUAAUAUAUUUAUAGCUUAUGAGUGUUUUCACACAAUCAAAAAUAAAAGAGAAGGUAGAGAAGGCUUGUGUUCUAUUAAACUGGAUAUGCACAAAGCUUAUGACAGAGUUGAGUGGCCUUUUUUGAAGGAGAUUAUGCUGAGACUGGGCUUCCGUCAAGAUUGGGUGAAAUUAAUUAUGCAAUGCGUCUCAACGGUCGAAUACAGAGUAAGGAUUAACACGGAGGAUAGUGAGAGUUUUAAGCCUACAAGGGGUUUGAGGCAGGGUGACCCUUUGUCGCCAUACCUUUUCUUGUUGUGCACAGAGGGAUUGAAUGCUCUACUUACACAGGCGGAGGAAAUUGGAACUAUUUCAGGAGUAGAAGUUUGUAGAGAUGCCCCGCCCAUCACAAACCUUCUCUUUGCGGAUGAUUCUUUGAUUUUCAUGAAAGCCAACCAACACAAUGCGGAAGCUGUGAAAACAGCGUUAGAUUUAUACUAUCAGGCAUCGGGACAAUUGGUAAGCAUUGAAAAAUCCAGCAUUUUCUUUAGCCCAAACACGAAGGUGGAGAUUAGGGAACAAUUGUGUAUAACGCUGAAUAUAAUGACAAAGGCCCUCAGUGAUAAAUAUUUGGGCUUGCCAGCAAAUGUGGGUGUAGAUAAAACAGACUGUUUCCAAUUUCUGAUUGAACGGAUUGUCGAGAAAAUUAGUGGCUGGAAGGAAAAAUUAUUGUCUGCCGGGGGAAAGGAGAUCCUGCUCAAGGCUGUGAUCCAAGCCAUACCCACCUAUGCAAUGUCGGUCUUUAAAAUUCUAAAAAAUUAUAAAGGAAUCAUUGACGCGAUAGCGCAUUUCUGGUGGGGAGACGAGGAGAACCAGAGGAGGAUGCACUGGAUGGCCUAG